rnacentral:tRNA from 1 species
GAAAGAAUGGCUGAAUUUUAGGCGGUAAAUUGUAAAUUUACUUAUAGUUAAAUACUUUCUUUCA